AAAGCAUGUUAGAAGGACACCUUUUGAUCAUCUGCUUGUAUCUUUCCCAAGCUUCAUAGAGGAAUUCACCAUCUUUUUGUUUGAAGGUGUGAACAUCCACUCUGAGCUU